rnacentral:rRNA from 1 species
UACGUAGGGGGCAAGCGUUGUCCGGAAUCAUUGGGCGUAAAGAGCGUGUAGGCGGCCAAGCAGGUCCGCUGUGAAAACUCGAGGCUCAACCUCGAGACGCCGGUGGAAACCGUUGACGUAGAGUCCGGAAGAGGAGAGUGGAAAUUCCCGUGGUAGAGCGGUGAAAUGCGCAGAUAUCAGGAAGAACACCCGUGGCGAAGGCGGCUCUCUGGGACGGUACUGACGCUGAGACGCGAAAGCGUGGGGAGCGAACAGG